CCUGGCUGCAAAGAGUGAGUAGUCGGCCCACCCAAUAACAAAAAAAAAUAAAAGAAUUCAUGUUCCAACAUGUCACUACACAAGUACGAGGCUACAGGUAUUACAAAGCAGCGGCAAUAAGAUGGCUACAAUGUCACAACGUAAAAAUUAUGUGCUGUGCAGCUCAAACAAUUCUGUUAACCUUAGAUAAAGUAAAACAACCCAAAACACACAUACAUAGAAAAGGGAGUUGGGCUGACACUAUCUCCUUGGUGGAAAGCAUAAGUCAUAACAAAGCAGCACUGCACUGCCGUCAAGAAGUGUUACUCUUCGUGUCAAGCAAAAUACGUAAAAUAGACAACAAGUAGCGAAAUGAGGAAAAAGAGAAGAACAGAAUCACCAUGAUGCAAGAAUUCAUUGAAAAAGUACGUGAACAUAGAGGCCCUUGUGGAAGAGUACAAGAUAGUUGCAGGAAAGGAGCAAGAGUUUUCAAUUUCAUCAGGGAGUAAGAAGCCGUCUUCUGAGCAGCUGAAAGCCAUUCAUCAUUGCUAAAGCAACAUAGCCAGCUGAGCCGGAACCAAAUCUAAGACCUGAUCUUGUCAAUUCCUUUUCACCUGAAAGGCAGUGUACGCCUACUACAGGUCAGCACUUAUUGAACUCCUCUCACACCAAUGGCCUAGCGACCACAUGUCCUAUGCAGAUCGUAUGCCCGUUCUCUCUACAGAUCCCCUGGGUCUUCGGGAACUGGUUCCCUCCUUGCCGUGAGGCCCUUUCUGGCCGUAAGAUUCGGUCGAGUAACAGACUGCAGGCUGUCAGAGCUAACACCACUCGUUUGACGAAAAGUCCUAUCUACCACAUGAUGUCUUUAUUUAGUGAUGACAUUGUAUAAACAGUCUUUUAUUUCACGUUGCCCAGUGAUGACUUUGUGUAAAUAAUUUUGCUUAACCUAAUAGUGACAUUUGUAAAUAGUUCUGCUUUUAAUUCCGCAAUUGUAAACUUGUCCGACAGUUCAGCCCUCGGGCUGCCAACCUAGCCUUGUAUGUCUGAAUUGUUUUUAUAAUAAUAAGCCAGUCAUCAUCAGCCUCAAGUGAGCGCUCUAAAGUUUUCAUACAUGGAGAAGGUGAAGAAUAGAGGAGAAAUCGUGUUGACAGGAAGACUCAAGAUGAAGAAAAUGCUAAAGAGGAUGUGCAAGCAAAGAAAAGCAAGAAUGUCACUCAGAAGAAGAGAAGAGGACAAUGAAAGCUAAACAACACAUAAGAACUACAGCGACAACACAAGGCAAGAAGGUGAAGGCAUUCUCACAGAAGAAAAAGAAGAUGACGGAUGAGGCUGAAGUAGGAGUGCAAAAUAUGAAAAAGGAGCCAGUUUUCUACAAACUGGGAGAAUUCGUUGCUGUGUGGUAGAGCGACAGCAAUGACAAACCUGCCUGGUAUCCGGGCUCGGCGGUGAAUGAUGGGACAGAAACUUUCACACUUACCUUCUUCAAUCCAGUUGCAGGUGGAAUGUACCAACUGCCUGGGGGUAGAAGACGAACGUAAAGUUGGAAAAUUAUGACGCCAGUUACACUUAUCAUUAAUCAAGCUUAUUUGUAAUGGUUGGUUGCUUGUACCACAUAAAUAAUUAAGACUGUUGCUUUUGCAAAAAAAAAUUGUUUCGAUACAUUAUCGCCAUGGUGAUUAGAUACGUGUAAGUGGAAGUGCAGUACCUAUACCUGCUAAAAUAUCCCAGAUAUCUGUGUACAUUGUAUGUUUACUUGGCAUCAUAUUCACACAAUUAGACAUUUGUCCUUGAACCAAUUUAACCUUGUAAUAUUUUUAUUAUAUUGUUUAUGACUGUCCAUUGUCACUAUGUGUAUACCAUGUACUUGCAAUUAGCCCUCGGGCACGAACUUGCA